rnacentral:lncRNA from 1 species
CGGGACUGAAGGGACUAUGGCGAAGGAUUCGAAUUCCGAAGGAGUUAAUUCGCCGGAGGAGCUACGGUGGCACUGGAGUUUUCUUCCUCACUUCCCCAAAACUUCGAGAGGAAGUCCUCUGUUGAGCAGAGACAUUAAAAUUCUAACCACCAUAGCCAAUUCGGAUCAUAAACAACCAAAUGAAUGGGAGCAACUGUGGCCUUGGCAAGUCCAGAAACAUAGGUAAUACUACUGAGGAAUUACCAGAAGAGUAAAGUGAAACACGAAUGGCUAAGUGGCAGAUACAGCAACAUAUGUUCUCCUCUGAGCCUACCAGAAAAAAUCAUGUACCCAAUGGAUGUAGAUACAUGGGGGGAAAUUCUAGACGCAGAACUGGAAAGAAAAGCUGAAAAAUUACCAAGAUCUUAUAACUUGGAGACUUUGAAACUAAAAUGACUCUUAGGUUCAUUUUUUUUGUUGUUGUUUACCAUUUUAAUGUUUAACAUUUAGAAGAAAACUAAGUAGAAAAUAAUGAAAGUCAAACUUUGUUUUUAUUCUGCACUUUCAUAAAAAAAUUUUCUGGUUUUAUUGUAAGAUGGAAAAAGUCAUGAAAUGUCUAUGUAGGAAAUACUAUACUGAUGGAGUGAUUUCAAAAUGUGUUGCUUCAUGUAUUUAUAACAGCAUAUUGCACUACUUUAAUGACAAGAGUUGAUUCGUAUUUUCUACUGAAUAGUAAUUCAAAAAUUCAGGAAACCAUUUCAAGAAACUGAUUAGAGAUUCAUUCAGUAGUAGACCUAAUUAGGCUCAUAACAGGAAGUAGACCACUAGGAAGACUACCUAAAUGAAAUUAAUCACAAUAUGUUUAAAUGUAGAGUAUAAUUUAUAUUUUGAUAACUUUAAAAUGUCCAUUUCAGUGGAAUCAGAUUGAAUUGUCAAACACUGAGCCCAUCUUGAGGUUUAGUUUAAAAUUAACCUGACCAGAAGGCUAAAACUUGUGAGAGUAAGAUUCUCAUCACUUGCCUACUGACCUAGAACUGCUCUCAGGGACAUAUGGAAAGUUUCCAGAACACUUGAACUGCCAGUUUUUCUUGGCAAAAGCUUUCUUUCUAACAACCUUUUAGCACCAUCUAGUGUACUACUGGUAGAUAACCAAGACAAAGGACUUCAGGUCCUUUUUGUUUUCCUCACAUUUCAAAGAAAAAAAUAUAUAUAUUAUUUUAGAGAACCCCAUAUACCUGACUUGUUGGAGUUUAUAGCUCUCCAGGAACCUUCAGUUUAACUUUUGUUCUCUUUUUCUUAAAAGUAGAUUGUAUGGUACUUACUCUACCAGAUUGUUCAUUCUGAAUCUGUGGUUAGCACCAUGGUUUAAAAAAAAAAAAUGUAUCUACAAAACAUUUUAGUUAGUAUAGCAUUUUCUUUUUAAUUGUGCUCCAUAGCACAAAAAAGAAUAAUCCAGAUAAACAGUAUCAGAAAGAAUCCUCACUCUAUACAAAUGCCCCUUGUUGGAUCUAGCAGGUGAGGGUCAACUAGAAGGGGCCUUGAAGUGCCAUCUUUAAGAAUAAUUAACAAUCCCUUCUAGAGAAAUUCCUCUCACCUCCCACCCACCAAACUCUCUUCUUGGCAAAUUUUCUUGUAAAACUUACCCUCUUUACCUGGAAACCAAUCCCUAGAUUGUACCAUUCUGGAUUAAGUGACCUUCAAUAGAGUUCCCGUAGUUCUGUGUACAUACCACUCUUAAAGCUGUCUACCACAUUAAAUUGUCUGUUUUGUUUGUCUCCCCCUUUAGACUGUGAGCUUCUUGAAGGCAGGGACCAUCUAUUUAUUUUUAUGUUCCCCAGACCUGGAAUAUAGUAGAUAUUCCACAAAGAUUUGUUAAAUUAUUUCUCUAUUAUUUAUUUUAAUCCUUCCCAGACUGUAUAAUAAAAAUAAUUUGCUAUAUUAUUAGCA